GACGAACGCUGGCGGCGUGCUUUACACAUGCAAGUCGAACGGUGAAGGUGGAGCUUGCUCCGCCGGAUCAGUGGCGAACGGGUGAGUAACACGUGGGCAACCUGCCCCUAACUUUGGGAUAACUACUCGAAAGAGUAGCUAAUACCGGAUAUGAAGUCUGUAGGCAUCUACGGAUUUGGAAAGUUUUUCGGUUAGGGAUGGGCCCGCGGCCUAUCAGCUUGUUGGUGAGGUAGUGGCUCACCAAGGCGACGACGGGUAGCCGGCCUGAGAGGGCGACCGGACACACUGGGACUGAGACACGGCCCAGACUCCUACGGGAGGCAGUAGUGGGGAAUAUUGCGCAAUGGGCGAAAGCCUGACGCAGCAACGCCGCGUGCGGGAUGAAGGCCUUCGGGUUGUAAACCGCUUUCAGCAGGGAAGAAGCGAAAGUGACGGUACCUGCAGAAGAAGCACCGGCUAACUACGUGCCAGCCGCCGCGGUAA
rnacentral:rRNA from 1 species